AAGGCGAAUUCUGAAAAGCCAUACGAGUAAGAA
rnacentral:ncRNA from 1 species